GUACUGCUGAGGAGUCCCACAACAGGACGAAACGGCUGUCCAGUGC
rnacentral:hammerhead_ribozyme from 1 species